UACGUAGGGUGCGAGCGUUGUCCGGAAUUAUUGGGCGGAAAGGGCUCGUAGGCGGUUUGUCGCGUCGGGAGUGAAAACCCAGGGCUUAACCCUGGGCUGGCUUUCGAUACGGGCAGACUAGAGGUAUGCAGGGGAGAACGGAAUUCCUGGUGUAGCGGUGAAAUGCGCAGAUAUCAGGAGGGACACCGGUGGCGAAGGCGGUUCUCUGGGCAUUACCUGACGCUGAGGAGCGAAAGCCAGGGGUGCAAACGGG
rnacentral:rRNA from 1 species